UCUUCUCUUGGUAGCAGCAAUCUUCAGAAAGAGGCCACGGUGCUUAUGCAAACGCCCAGGUCACUCCACACCAAUCUUCUGUUCAAGACAUGACAGGAACCAUCAUCAAAGCACCACAGGGAAGUCAGAGCACAAGCCCACACUCUAGACAGCUUUGUCACCUGACAGCACUGCUUCACCCUGCAGCCUAAGCUCUGAAGUCUCUUAAUAGCCCAGCUAAUUGCUUGCAAUCUCCCGCCCUUUGAGCUUUGUUUCCCUGGCCUGAGAUAGUCUUGGGACACUUGAACAAUGUUUCCUUUGUCUGAUCUUCAUUCAUGUCAUUUUAUCUGAAGAGGGUCUCUGAGCACUCUGGGAAAUUCCCCUUCAGUUAAACUUGUCUAGAACCUGCCUGAUUUCCAGACAGAACACUGGUGACUACCGGGCAUAACGUCUCAACAUUUGUUUAUUAAUACACUGCCCAUCUCUCUCUGACUGGCAGGAGGAGUCCACAAACCUAUUUUAUUCACUGCUGUUUUACAAACUGUGCUAUAUAAAUGAAUGCGUUUGAAUGGAUAGCGUUUCAGUUUCUAUUGGAUUUCAUAUUCCCUGUUAAUUAAUCCAAGGAAAUAAGAGUCACAGGAGGACAUUUAUUUUCUUGUCCAUAUAAUCCCCAAGAGGCCAAUUUUCAUACCUACAUAGCCCAACCCAUUUUGCCUUUAUACCUGUGUCACUUGUUACUGGUCUGUUUGAUUAGUGAAGCUCAGUAUGAUACCUGACUUGAUGUAUGAUAUGUACUCUGAUGGAGUGAUUGAUUGAUUGAUUAUUAACUCUAGGCUUUUCUUCCUGACCACUUUGUUCCCAGGAAUAACAACUUUGAGACUAAUUACUUAUUAAUAAAUGCUUAGGCCUUGGUUCUCUUUCCUAACUAACUCAUGUGUCAAUAAUCCAGUUUAUUCUAUUCUAAGUAUGCCACAUGGCUGGCUACCUUUUUCUCAUGUGUUUCAUGAGGUGUUUCAUAUGUCUGUCUCCUCACAAUUCCUUGGCAAAUCCCUGGUUCACUUAACUCCCAGAAUUCUCUCCCUCCCUGAUGGAUGUUCCACGUUCUAAUUCUGCCUUAGCUCAUUGGCCAUAGCCUUUUUUAUUGAUAGGUGAUGCUAAUAAGAGAUUCUCUCUAUACCUGAUUGAUUGAAUUGAUUGAUUUUUUUUUUUUUUAAUAGUGCUCACUAUGUAGCCCAGGCUUGUCUGGAACUCGCUAUGUGGAGGAGGCUAGCCUCAGACUUAUAGUUACCCUCCUUUUGAGGGUGUGUAUGUCACCAUGCUUGAUUUAUAUAACAUACCCUGUAAAAAUUUUUUUUCUUUUUAUGUUUAUGGGUGUUUGUGUGUAUGUCUGUGCACUUUGUGUGUACAGCUCCUGUGGAGACCAAAAGAAGGUGCUGGGCUCCCUGGAACAAGAGGUACACAGUUGUGAGUUGCCAUGUGAGUGCUGGGAACUGAACCUGGAUCCUCUGGAAGAGCAGCCAGUGCUAUAGACUGCUGAGCCAUCUCUCCAGCAUGAAAAUAGGCAACUAUGCACUAGUAUGAACUGUACCACAAAGCCUCCACACACACAGCCCUCCUCCUCCCAUUCUUUCCUGGCAAAUUAUAACUUUUCCUCCCCAGUGGUUUCUAAAAUAUCUGUUUCUCACAGAUUUCUAUACAUAUCUUCCUUUUCUCUCAUGUGAGGGAGGCCCUCUAGAUGCUUCCUGGCACAUAGGACUCAUUGUUGUCUUCUCCCCCUAUUGUCCUUGGAAAAGAGGCACCAGCUACUCAAGGCCGGAUCAACAGAAGUGGGCAGUAAAACAGUCACAUGGUAAACUGCACGUGUCAGAAUAAGGCUGGGCUCUCAGAUCUUCUAAGAGGCCUCACUUUACUCAAUACACGUGUUUCUUAUAAACUGAUUAUUUUACCAUUAAGUGGCUACCUUAAAAAAAAAUCUUUGCUGUGUGCUACUGAAUACCUACUUAGUGCUCAUCAUCACAAAGGCAUUCAGAUGAGUCAGCUAGCGUCUCCGGGGGGCCGAGAGAAACGGGUGCACCCUCAAUGAAAACAGAGUGCUUCUGAGAUACCUGAGAUCAACGUUUAAGGUUUACUUUUGAGAUUAUAAUGUAAAUGCAUCACUGUUCACUCCCCUUUCUUCCCUCCAAACUCUCCCAUACACCCCUCCUUUUUAAUUAAGUAGCUCUUCACAUACUCAAUACAUCAAUCCAUCCUCUUUAAUAAACUUGUAUUCCCAGGUCCUGUGGCCUGUUCAUUUAUUACAGGGAUCUAAGAGUGCAUUUUGAUGCUAAUAGUAUCAAAGGGAUACCCUUGGUGCACUCUUUAUGGUACUAAUAUUAUGAGAAGGUAUAUGUAUAUGUGCAUAUUUUUGUAUGUUUAUAUGUUGGUAUCUAUUUACAAAUCUGUACCACUUUGUGCACACAUAUAUACAUACAUACAUUCAUAACGUUCCUCCAUAUCUGUAGGCUCUGCAUCUAUGGUUUCACCCAAGCACAGGUCAAAAACACUUAGGGGAAAAAAUGAAGUUUGUAUUGUGAAUG
rnacentral:lncRNA from 1 species